rfam:Eucalyptus grandis cultivar BRASTZ1 unplaced genomic scaffold scaffold_3, whole genome shotgun sequence.
AGAGCGAGUUUGAGCCAAGAAUGACUUGCCGGCAUCGUGCUGUGCGAGCAAAAGAUAUUCAGUCCUUAGUAAGAGCUUGAACUUUGUUGCCUUCCCGGCAAGUCUGCCUUGGCUCUAAUUCUCUCUCU